rnacentral:rRNA from 1 species
GAUGAACGCUGGCGGCGUGCCUAAUACAUGCAAGUCGAGCGAACAGACGAGGAGCUUGCUCCUUUGACGUUAGCGGCGGACGGGUGAGUAACACGUGGAUAACCUACCUAUAAGACUGGGAUAACUUCGGGAAACCGGAGCUAAUACCGGAUAACAUGUUGAACCGCAUGGUUCAACAGUGAAAGACGGUCUUGCUGUCACUUAUAGAUGGAUCCGCGCCGCAUUAGCUAGUUGGUAAGGUAACGGCUUACCAAGGCAACGAUGCGUAGCCGACCUGAGAGGGUGAUCGGCCACACUGGAACCGAGACACGGUCCAGACUCCUACGGGAGGCAGCAGUAGGGAAUCUUCCGCAAUGGGCGAAAGCCUGACGGAGCAACGCCGCGUGAGUGAAGAAGGUCUUCGGAUCGUAAAACUCUGUUAUUAGGGAAGAACAAAUGUGUAAGUAACUAUGCACGUCUUGACGGUACCUAAUCAGAAAGCCACGGCUAACUACGUG